UCCUACGGGGGGCAGCAGUAGGGAAUCUUCCACAAUGGGCGAAAGCCUGAUGGAGCAACGCCGCAUGGGGGAAGAAGGUCUUCGGAUCGUAAACCCCUGUUGUCAGAGAAGAAAGUGCGCGAGAGUAACUGUUAACGUUUCGACGGUAUCUAACCAGAAAGCCACGGCUAACUACGUGCCAGCAGCCGCGGUAAUACGUAGGUGGCAAGCGUUAUUCGGAUUUAUUGGGCGUAAAGAGAACGUAGGCGGUCUUUCAAGUCUGAUGUGAAAGCCUUCGGCUUAACCGGAGUAGUUCAUUGGAAACG
rnacentral:rRNA from 1 species